rnacentral:rRNA from 1 species
GGGGGCAACUAUACAUGCAAGUCGAGCGGACAGAAGGGAGCUUGCUCCCGGAUGUUAGCGGCGGACGGGUGAGUAACACGUGGGUAACCUGCCUGUAAGACUGGGAUAACUCCGGGAAACCGGAGCUAAUACCGGAUAGUUCCUUGAACCGCAUGGUUCAAGGAUGAAAGACGGUUUCGGCUGUCACUUACAGAUGGACCCGCGGCGCAUUAGCUAGUUGGUGAGGUAACGGCUCACCAAGGCGACGAUGCGUAGCCGACCUGAGAGGGUGAUCGGCCACACUGGGACUGAGACACGGCCCAGACUCCUACGGGAGGCAGCAGUAGGGAAUCUUCCGCAAUGGACGAAAGUCUGACGGAGCAACGCCGCGUGAGUGAUGAAGGUUUUCGGAUCGUAAAGCUCUGUUGUUAGGGAAGAACAAGUGCAAGAGUAACUGCUUGCACCUUGACGGUACCUAACCAGAAAGCCACGGCUAACUACGUGCCAGCAGCCGCGGUAAUACGUAGGUGGCAAGCGUUGUCCGGAAUUAUUGGGCGUAAAGGGCUCGCAGGCGGUUUCUUAAGUCUGAUGUGAAAGCCCCCGGCUCAACCGGGGAGGGUCAUUGGAAACUGGGAAACUUGAGUGCAGAAGAGGAGAGUGGAAUUCCACGUGUAGCGGUGAAAUGCGUAGAGAUGUGGAGGAACACCAGUGGCGAAGGCGACUCUCUGGUCUGUAACUGACGCUGAGGAGCGAAAGCGUGGGGAGCGAACAGGAUUA